rnacentral:rRNA from 1 species
AUUACCGCGGCUGCUGGCACGGAGUUAGCCGGAGCUUAUUCUCCCGGUACUGUCAUUAUCAUCCCGGGUAAAAGAGCUUUACAACCCUAAGGCCUUCAUCACUCACGCGGCAUUGCUGGAUCAGGCUUGCGCCCAUUGUCCAAUAUUCCCCACUGCUGCCGCCCGCCGC